rnacentral:rRNA from 1 species
CCUACGGGUGGCAGCAGUGGGGAAUAUUGGGCAAUGGGCGCAAGCCUGAACCAGCAACGCCGCGUGAAGGAAGAAGGCUUUCGGGUUGUAAACUUCUUUUCUCAGGGACGAAGACAGUGACGGUACCUGAGGAAUAAGCCACGGCUAACUACGUGCCAGCAGCCGCGGUAAUACGUAGGUGGCAAGCGUUAUCCGGAUUUACUGGGUGUAAAGGGCGUGUAGGCGGGACUGCAAGUCAGAUGUGAAAACCACGGGCUCAACCUGUGGCCUGCAUUUGAAACUGUAGUUCUUGAGUACUGGAGAGGCAGACGGAAUUCCUAGUGUAGCGGUGAAAUGCGUAGAUAUUAGGAGGAACACCAGUGGCGAAGGCGGCUUACUGGACUGUAAAUGACGCUGAGGCUCGAAAGCGUGGGGAGCAAACAGGAUUAGAUACCCCUGUAGUC